rnacentral:lncRNA from 1 species
CAAGAAGGGGCCGCUAGGUGCUGGGGCGGCACAGUUGCUGCUGUCGCCUAGGCAACUGCCAUUCCAUAACGGAAUGCACUUCCGCUUCCGCCUCCGUGCCCGACGGAUGAGCGUUCACGCAGCGUCGCCGCCGUGACGCUAUUCUGCUGCGACUGCUUGAGUGCGCAGCUUCCGCGUGGUGGUGUCCUGUCCGUGGGAAACCCGAGAGCGGCUGUCUCUGGCUUUCGUCCUCUGAUCUGAGCGCCGAGGGAAAAGUGGCGAGAUGACCGACCGCUACACCAUCCACAGCCAGCUGGAGCACCUCCAGUCCAAGUACAUCGGCACGGGCCACGCCGACACCACCAAGUGGGAGUGGCUGGUGAACCAGCACCGCGACUCGUACUGCUCCUACAUGGGCCACUUCGACCUUCUCAACUACUUCGCCAUUGCCGAGAAUGAGAGCAAAGCGCGAGUCCGCUUCAACCUGAUGGAGAAGAUGCUGCAGCCUUGCGGGCCGCCGGCCGACAAGCCCGAGGAGAACUGAGCCCCGCGCGGGGACCUUCGCGGCCGCACCGCUCCCUGCCUUCUCCAGUUUGCUGUGGUUUCCUGCGUUUUCCCGCCUCCAGUGAACAGAUUCUUCCCGGCUCGUGCUUUCGGUGUCCAGAGGGGUUUGUCCCGGAGUGGCCCUCCUGACCCGCCUAAACGUGGACCCUUCGGAACAUGGCAUUGAGACACCGUCGGGACCCUGAGAACUGUGCGAGUGGAGAGGUCCUAGAGCCGACGAGCAUUAGGGAGGACGACCCUGGAGUGAAACGGGACCUGGCUAGUUGUCUGUCAUUGGUGCUUUUUCCAUAAAGUUUAGAAAUUGCCCUGUCUUUUGGUGUGACUCCUUUUGUUCCGGUGGAAGGGUUCGGGGAGAGGUUUGGGGACCAGGAUUUCAGAGUUCGCGUAGGAAUUGGUUCAUUAUCAGGCCCUUAAAUUCUCUAUGCAGACCUUUGUAAUAUUCCCCACCCUGAAUCCCCAAGAGCGUUUUUUUUUUUUUCAUGCUUACAAAUAUUGAGGUUUAUGAUUAAUUUAUCCCACCUUUUUUCUCUCAUUUCAAAAUGGUUCGCUUUCAUUGACUCCUCGUCUCUGUAAAUUGAAUCCGCUCCCUUGGAAUUUGUGGCCAUGUCUUCAGAAAUGACAGCUGGUAAACGAGUAUGUUUUUUCAUUCAACAAGUUGUGUGUGUGUGUGUGUGGUCCAUCCCCAGGUAGGGGAAAUUAAAUACAAGGGCGCUUUACCACUGAGCUACAUCCCCAGCCCUUUAAAUUCUUUGACAGGGUUUCCCUGCUGGUGCUGGCCUGAAACUUGUGAUCCUUCUGCCUCAGCACCUGAUGUUUGUCGUUCUCAGUGGCAGGCUUUUUUUUUUUUUUUUAGACUUUGGGGCUUAAAUUAUGCUAGUUGGAGAAGAGGGAGGCCAAACAAACUGUAGACAUAAAUGUUAGAAGAUGCUGGUAGGUGGGAGCAGUUAGUAGGGUCACAAUUUAUAUAUAUCAUUCUCAUAUUUUGUUAUUGAGAUGAGGUCAUUUGAGUCCAGAUUUUUUUUAAAGGAAUUGAGAGAAAUAGCCAUGCAGAAAACUGGGAAAUUGCUUUCAUGUAGAGGGAACUACUGGUGCAUGGGACUAAGGCCAGGACAGUGUCUGACUAACUGUAGGUACUACAAAGAGACAAGUGUACUGAAUGGAAUGCAGGGACAGAUAAAGGAGGGCAGAAAAGGGUAGAUCUAUGUAGUCAAUACAACAAAAUCUGAAGAAGGUAGGAAAAAAAGCACUGGAGGGUCUCUAAGCAGAGAAGUGACAUGAUAUGGCAUUUAAUUUUGCAGUGCUGUGGAUCAAACCCAGGGUCCCAUUCAUGCUAGGUAAGCACACUACUGCUGAGUUACACUUCCAGCACCUGAUAUUUUAAGUCAUUGGUUCUCAAAAUUUGGGUCAUGGGAUUCUGUUACACUUUAAAAAAUGAUCAGAGAUCCCAAAGAGUCUUUGUGUGGGUGUUAUAGCUGUUGAUAUUUACCACAAUUGAAAUUAGCUGGGCUAGGGUUGUGGCUCAGUGAUAGAGUGCUCACCUAGCACGUGCAGGGCCCUGGGUUCUAUCCUCAGCACCACAUAUAAAUAAAAAAAGGUAUUGUGUCCAACCACAACUAAAAAAUAAAAUAUUAAAAAAAGAAAACAAAGUUUAAAAAUAUUUACUAAAUCGUUUAAAGUAACAGUAAAAAAUUACAUAAUAAAACCAUUUUUAUGAAAAAUAGCUAGUUUGCAAAACAAUUUAUUGAAAAGAAUGACUUUUUAAAAACAUUUUGGAGAGCUCUUUGGUAUUUGGCUUAAUUGAUGAUUGGAUUCUUAUUCAAUUCUUCAUUCAUUCAUACUAUUGGGAUAUAAAGUUUUUGGUUCAAGUAUGAGAAAAUCCACUACUCAUAAAUCAGUAGUAUGGGAAGAAUAUUUAGCUUUAUCAAAUAAUUAUUCAUUGAUAUUCUAGCAAAUCUAUCCAGUGGUAGUUUCUUAAAGAUAAUUAAAACAGGAAAUCUGAAAUUAAGUCAGUUAACUUUACAAUUCUGUUACAUUAAAUUUAUUCACCUGCUGGGUGUGGUGACACGUGCAUAUAAUCUUGGACAGAACGAUGCAAGUCUGAGGCUAGCCGGAGCAACUUAUAGAAACUCUGCCUCAAAAUUUUAAAAAAUAAAUAAAAAGAGCUGUGAAUAUAGCCUAGUGAUAUAGCACCCUGGGUUCAAUCCCUGAGAGAGAGAGAGAGAGAAGAAAAAAAGACACAGAAAUUCACAAUUGUGCCCAUGUUUAUAGCAGCACAAAUCUCAGUAGCUAACCUAUGGAACCAGCCUAGGUGUCCAUCAACAGAUUAAUGGAUAAAGAAAAUGUAAAUAUACACAGUGGAGUUUCAUUUUACCAUAAAGAUAAAUGAAAUUAUAUUAUUUUCAGGAAAAUGGAACUAGAGACCAUUAUAUUAAACAAAAUAAUAAUCUCAGAAGGUCAAAGUUCUCAUGAUCUUCUCAUAUGUGGAAGCUAGAGAGCAAAAAGGAAAAGAAAAGUGGCAGGGCUGUGGUGAGGAUCUCAUGAAAAUCAAAGGGAGAUUAGUAGAGGAAAGGGACCAAGGGCUGGGAGGUGGGGUGUGAGAGAGUUAGUCAGGGGGAGGGGGAAUGAUGUUGGCCAAAUUACAUUGUUACAUUGUGUGCAUGUAUGGAUAUGUAACAAUAAAUCCCAUAGUUAUGUAUCACUAUAAUACAUCAAUUUGAAAAAAAAAUGAGUGGGCUGGAGAUAUAGCUCAGUUGGUAGAGUGCUUGCCACCCCUGUACAAGGCCAUGGGUUCAAUUCCCAGCAUGACAAAAAGAAAAAAAAAAAAACUAGGGGGAAAAGAGGAAAUUCCCAAUGGUAUGUCUUUAGCAAGUUUAACNCCUUAAAUUCUCUAUGCAGACCUUUGUAAUAUUCCCCACCCUGAAUCCCCAAGAACGUUUUUUUUUUUUUCAUGCUUACAAAUAUUGAGGUUUAUGAUUAAUUUAUCCCACCUUUUUUCUCUCAUUUCAAAAUGGUUUGCUUUCAUUGACUCCUCGUCUCUGUAAAUUGAAUCCGCUCCCUUGGAAUUUGUGGCCAUGUCUUCAGAAAUGACAGCUGGUAAACGAGUAUGUUUUUUCAUUCAACAAAUUGUGUGUGUGUGUGUGUGUGUGUGUGGUCCAUCCUCAGGUAGGGGAAAUUAAAUACAAGGGCGCUUUACCACUGAGCUACAUCCCCAGCCCUUUAAAUUCUUUGACAGGGUUUCCCUGCUGGUGCUGGCCUGAAACUUGUGAUCCUUCUGCCUCAGCACCUGAUGUUUGUCGUUCUCAGUGGCAGGCUUUUUUUUUUUAGACUUUGGGGCUUAAAUUAUGCUAGUUGGAGAAGAGGGAGGCCAAACAAACUGUAGACAUAAAUGUUAGAAGAUGCUGGUAGGUGGGAGCAGUUAGUAGGGUCACAAUUUAUAUAUAUCAUUCUCAUAUUUGGUUAUUGAGAUGAUGUCAUUUGAGUCCAGAUUUUUUUUUAAAGGAAUUGAGAGAAAUAGCCAUGCAGAAAACUGGGAAAUUGCUUUCAUGUAGAGGGAACUACUGAUGCAUGGGACUAAGGCCAGGACAGUGUCUGACUAAUUGUAGGUACUACAAAGAGACAAGUGUACUGAAUGGAAUGCAGGGACAGAUAAAGGAGGGCAGAAAAGGGUAGAUCUAUGUAGUCAAUACAACAAAAUCUGAAGAAGGUAGGAAAAAAAGCACUGGAGGGUCUCUAAGCAGAGAAGUGACAUGAUAUGGCAUUUAAUUUUGCAGUGCUGUGGAUCAAACCCAGGGUCCCAUUCAUGCUAGGUAAGCACACUACUGCUGAGUUACACUUCCAGCACCUGAUAUUUUAAGUCAUUGGUUCUCAAAAUUUGGGUCAUGGGAUUCUGUUACACUUUAAAAAAUGAUCAGAGAUCCCAAAGAGUCUUUGUGUGGGUGUUAUAGCUGUUGAUAUUUACCACAAUUGAAAUUAACUGGGCUAGGGUUGUGUCUCAGUGAUAGAGUGCUCACCUAGCACGUGCAGGGCCCUGGGUUCUAUCCUCAGCACCACAUAUAAAUAAAAAAAGGUAUUGUGUCC